rnacentral:misc_RNA from 1 species
GAUGAAGAACGCAGCGAAAUGCGAUAAGUAGUGUGAAUUGCAGAAUUCAGUGAAUCAUCGAAUCUUUGAACGCACAUUGCGCCCUUUGGUAUUCCAAAGGGCAUGCCUGUUCGAGCGUCAUUUGUACCCUCAAGCUUUGCUUGGUGUUGGGCGUCUUGUCUCUAGUUUUGCUGGAGACUCGCCUUAAAGUAAUUGGCAGCCGGCCUACUGGUUUCGGAGCGCAGCACAAGUCGCACUCUCUAUCAGCAAAGGUCUAGCAUCCAUUAAGCCUUUUUUUCAACUUUUGACCUCGGAUCAGGUAGGGAUACCCGCUGAACUUAAGCAUAUCAAUAAGCGGAGGA